rnacentral:rRNA from 1 species
UGGGGAAUAUUGGACAAUGGGCGCAAGCCUGAUCCAGCCAUGCCGCGUGGAUGAUGACGGCCCUAGGGUUGUAAAGUCCUUUUAACGGGGAAGAUAAUGACGGUACCCGUAGAAUAAGCCCCGGCUAACUUCGUGCCAGCAGCCGCGGUAAUACGAAGGGGGCUAGCGUUGCUCGGAAUUACCGGGCGUAAAGCGCACGUAGACGGCUUUCUAAGUCAGGGGUGAAAUCCUGGAGCUCAACUCCAGAACUGCCUUUGAUACUGGAAAGCUUGAGUUCGGGAGAGGUGAGUGGAACUGCGAGUGUAGAGGUGAAAUUCGUAGAUAUUCGCAAGAACACCAGUGGCGAAGGCGGCUCACUGGCCCGAUACUGACGCUGAGGUGCGAAAGCGUGGGGAGCAAACAG